AGGGUUCGAUUAUGGCUCAGAUUGAACGCUGGCGGCAUGCUUUACACAUGCAAGUCGAACGGCAGCAUAGAGAGCUUGCUCUCUGAUGGCGAGUGGCGAACGGGUGAGUAAUACAUCGGAACGUGUCCGUUUGUGGGGGACAACCAUCCGAAAGGAUGGCUAAUACCGCAUAAGACCUGAGGGUGAAAGCCGGGGACCGCAAGGCCUGGCGCGAACGGAGCGGCCGAUGACUGAUUAGCUGGUUGGCGGGGUAAAGGCCCACCAAGGCGACGAUCAGUAGCUGGUCUGAGAGGACGACCAGCCACACUGGAACUGAGACACGGUCCAG
rnacentral:rRNA from 1 species